GACGAACGCUGGCGGCGUGCUUAACACAUGCAAGUCGAACGAAGAGCGACUGACGCUUGCUUCUAUCAAUCUCAGUGGCGAACGGGUGUGUAACGCGGAAGCAACCUGCCCUUCAGAGGGGGACAACAGUGGGAAACGACUCCUAAUACCGCAUACGAUCUAAUCUUGGCAUCGAGGACGGAUGAAAGGUGGCCUCUACAGGUAAGCUACCACUGAAGUUGGGGAGGGCGUCUGCUUAGCUAGUUGGAGGGGUCACGGCCCUCCAAGGCGAUGAUCAGUAGGCCGUCUGAGAGGGUGGACGGCCACAUUGGGACUGGGACACGGCCCAGACUCCUACGGGAGGCAGCAGUGGGGGAUCUUCCGCAAUGGACGAAAGUCUGACGGAGCCACGCCGCGUGAGUGAUGGCGGCCUUCGGGUUGUAAAGCUCUGUUAAUCGGGGCGAAAGGCCUUCUUGCGAAUCGGUAGACGGAUUGACGGUACCGGAAUAGAAAGCCACGGCUAACUACGUG
rnacentral:rRNA from 1 species